AACAGACGCGGUGCAAACGCCGCCCCUCCCCCAGGCCAGGACUAACCAUCCGCACAACCCCCUGCUCCAGCCCGCUCGCCCCUGCAGAACGCACUGGCUGCCGCUGCGUGGGGCUCCUGGGGAAUGCGAAGGGAGUCUGCAGAGCUCAUCUCCUCUGAGGAGAAACCACCGGCUCCUCUUUGCUUGGCAGGAGGCACAGGAGCCCCUGGCGUCGGGGGGUGAAACCACUGAGAUCCGCCACAAAACCUGAGCGCAAGAGUGAGCAGGAGGGAGAAAGAGCAGCCAGGCGCUGAACCAGAAUCCCAGGGGCUGUGCUGCAGAAUACGCUGGGCAAGGAAAAUGCUGCCCAUCUGCCUUCUCCUUGCUGCCGGGUGUCUGCCGGGGAGCCUGUCGCAGGAGGCCAGGACCGGGGAGCCGAGGAAGCCGUUCUUUGAAAGGGUCAGGAGACUCGAGGAGCAGUUUCGCCGGUUUCAGGAGGUGACCCUGCGACACCUCCAGGGGAUCGCCGGGAACUACAACAUUUCCUACAACAUCGACACUCGGUUCCGGCACCUGGCGGCUCAGCACGACACCGUCACAGCUGCCCUCAAUGCCUCGCACGCCGCCCUGCAGGAGGACCUGGGCCCUAUGAAAACCUGGAUGAAGAAGCUACAGAAAAGAACCAAGAAGUUGGCUUCCAAGCUCUCGUCUCUGGCUGGGUCCCUGGGCGACAGCCGCAAGCAGAGCUCCGGGGAGAGACUCCAGCAGAGCGCCCUCCUGUCCAACCUGACUCUGCAGACCGCCGGCCACACGGCAGAGCUCGCCGCCCUGCGUGCCAGCAGCAACACCCUGCAGAGCCAGCUGGAGAGCCUGCAGGAGGCCAGCAGGAGCCAGGGAACCCAGAUGGAGGUGCUGGAGCAGCGGCUAAAGCACAUGCUGCACAAGGAGGCCCUGGCAUCUGGGCACCAGAAGCUGGCCACAGCCCAGGAACUGAACCAGACGCCCCAGGACAAGCAGCCGGAGGCAGGGGGGAGCCAGGGCCCCGGCGUGAAGCUGAAGGCCAAGCGCAGGCAAAGGAAGAAGACCCUGGCCCAGCAGCUCCUGGCCCAGGCUGCAAACAGGGGGCUGCAGAGCAGCCUGGCCCGUGGCAGUCAGACCCCCGGCCCAGAGACACCCACCAUGCCUGAGCCACAAGCUGCCAGGCCACCGCCCCGCAGCACGACCCAGAUCUCCUACGAGCCGCUGUGGCCACCAGCACCCGAGAACCUAGGCACACUCUGCAACGUGGGUUCCAUGCUGCUUUUCCCCAACGCCUCCACGGAGAACUUCGCCGCCUUCGGCCAGGCCUUCCGGACCGGCCUGCACGAGCUGUCGGCCUGCGGCUGGGGGAGCACCCCUGCUCGCUCCCUGGGCACCAUCCUCUCCUACGCCACGGAGGAGAACGACAACAAGCUGGUCCUGCACGGCCGGAACACGGCCCCCCCGGGGGCCAUCCACUUCGUCAUCGGCGACCCGGCCUUCCGGGAGCUGCCGGUCGGGCGGCUGCUGGACGGCCGAUGGCACCACGUGUGUGUCAUCUGGUCCUCCCUCCAGGGCAAGUUCUGGUUCUACGUGGACAGGAGACUGGCGGCUCUGGGCUCCCGCUUCCAGGAGGGCUACGAGAUCCCCCCCGGCGGGUCGCUCAUUCUGGGUCAGGAGCAGGACGUGGUGGGGGGCGGCUUUGACCCCUCGGAAGCCUUUGUGGGGCGCCUGGCCGGCUUUGCCAUCUGGGACCGGGCUCUGACACCCGGGGAGGUGUCCAGCAUAGUCACGGGGAAGGGGCUGCCCCGGGGGGUCAUCCUGAGCCUGGCUGAUGUCUCCUCUCUCAAUGGAUGGGUGCAGAAAGUGAACUGCACCUGCCUGGAACACUGUGUGUAAAUCAAACCCACCCCCCCUCCCGGGGCUGUCACAGGCCUGAGCAGCCCGGACACCGGGCAGCUACCAACAGCGGUUUGUGGUGCCUGCCAGCCAGAACACUUCUCCCGCCUGCUCAGUGGGCCCAAAGCCCUUUUCUCCAUCGGAUGAGGGCUGAGGGGCGUUACGAGCGGCAAACCCCCAUCCCCCGAGGCUUUCCAUGCCGAUCGGGUGGAAACGUCAUCAGGUGAUUGCUCGUGCCCCCUCGCCGAGGCCAGAAAUCAAGGCGGCUCUCUCGAGUGCUGAGUGGUCUGGAUCCAAAGGGCGAAGCAGCCAGAGGCCAGCUCGUGUCAACACGUCACCUCGGCAUGGAGUCGCCUUUCCCAAACCCUGCACAGGGAGCCAGCAAUCGCGGCCCCUCCACCCGUGAAAUGCAGCCACCUCUGGGGAGGAUGCGGGGAGAGGCUGGGCAGCCAUUUAACAGUGCCCGGCGGUGCCACGCACCAGAUUAGGACAGGCGAGGAAAGCCUCCGACGGGAUGUAGGUAGAUAGAAAGGGACGCAGCCACCCUGCCCUUAAUACCCGGCCACAGUCAGAUCUUAUUCCUACGUCUCGUUCAGGAGCCAGCCCUGUACUAUGCUGCAGGACGGGUGUGGCCCACAGGUGGAGGGAAGUGGGCCGUCUGCUGCAACUCUCACUUCUGAUCACUCCCACUUUCCCAGGAAGGGAUCCCCUCUGAGUACCAAGCUCAGCAACCCCCCCCUCCCCUCCGGAGCUGACAUCAACCCCAGGCGCUGUAGCUGCAGAUAAGUGCAGCAGCCCCUGGGAAAGGCGCUUGGAUUAUAAUAGGAAAACCGGCUGUUUCCAGCCGGACAGUUGCUCUGCGCUUUCACGGUGAAAUGCCCAUGAAUGGAACUUGCCUUUGACAGCUAAUUCUUCCCAGCAGAGCCCAGGGAGGGGAUGGGCAGGGGAAGGAGGCCCUGGGAACGCAGUGCAGCCUGCAGUCUAGGCUGGUCAAUUUCAGCUGUGCCGCCUCCAGCCCCAGACGAUGUGUACCCAGGUCACAGAGGCUCACGCUUACGCUUGCCAGGGCUCUGGGCUUGAUGAGUAACUCGAGGAACAAUUCCAAAGCAGAACCCUUCUCCUAAGCGUUCUCCCCAGGCUGGAUCGGUCCUAGGCCUCCUUCAGGACCUCUCUGGCUUUGCCCUGAGUUCCCUCUCUCUAGGGCAGGGGUGGGCAAUAAAUGGCCCGUAGGCCGGAUGUGAUUUGCCAGGAUUAGCCAGAUGCUUUAUUGACCUGAACGUCUGUAGGUCCUGCCGGUUGCAGCUUCUCCUGGCUCUGGUUCUCCACUCCCAGCCAAUGGGGCUGCAGGAAUUGGUGGCCCAGUCCACGCCACUUCCCAUAGCUCCCAUUGGCCAGGAACGGUGAACGUGGCCAAUGGGAGCUGCGAGCCGCCGUACCUG